GUAGGUGGCAAGCGUUGUCCGGAAUUAUUGGGCGUAAAGCGCGCGCAGGCGGUUCUUUAAGUCUGAUGUGAAAGCCCACGGGCUCAACCGUGGAGGGUCAUUGGAAACUGGAGAACUUGAGUACAGAAGAGGAAAGCGGAAUUCCACGUGUAGCGGUGAAAUGCGUAGAGAUGUGGAGGAACACCAGUGGCGAAGGCGGCUUUCUGGUCUGUAACUGACGCUGAGGCGCGAAAGCGUGGGGAGCAAACAGGAUUAGAUACCCUGGUAGUCCACGCCGUAAACGAUGAGUGCUAAGUGUUAGGGGGGUUUCCGCCCCUUAGUGCUGCAGCUAACGCAUUAAGCACUCCGCCUGGGGAGUACGGCCGCAAGGCUG
rnacentral:rRNA from 1 species